GUUAAUUCAUGCCUAAAGUACAAUGUAUGUGUAAAAAAACAUGAAGAAAAUUACUACCCAAAAGUUUGCCAAAGGCUGGUGGUAGAAUUAUUGCAUGAAAAGUAUUAAACUACCACCAUUUAAAAUACCCUGAGUUGUCUACUUUUCAAAAAUAUAUGGUUUGAUGGGGGUAAAAUACAUUGGCCCAAAUAGGACAGGGGCGCUGGUUUACUACAAAAUUCCAAGUUGAAAAAUGGAUAUGUGCACCUGCCAAAUGUGGCCUUGUAGCCCCCAAACAAUCCGACAAGCCUAUGCAUGGGUGGUAUCACUGUACUCAGGAGAUGUUGCUGAACACAUAUUGGCGUGUUGUUUGGCAGUGACACAUAACACGAUCUGUUAAUUCAUGCCUAAAGUACAAUGUGUGUGAAAAAAAACACACAAAAAAUUACUACCUAAAUGUUUGACAAAGUCUGGUGGUAGAAUUAGUGCAUGGAAAGUGUUAAAAAAAACACCAUUUGAAAUACCCUAGGGUGUCUACUUUCCAAAAAUAUAUGGUUUGGUGGGGGUAAAAUACAUUGGC